rnacentral:rRNA from 1 species
UGGGGAAUUUUGGACAAUGGGCGCAAGCCUGAUCCAGCAAUGCCGCGUGCAGGAUGAAGGCCUUCGGGUUGUAAACUGCUUUUGUACGGAGCGAAAAGGUCUGCCCUAAUACGGUGGGCUCAUGACGGUACCGUAAGAAUAAGCACCGGCUAACUACGUGCCAGCAGCCGCGGUAAUACGUAGGGUGCGAGCGUUAAUCGGAAUUACUGGGCGUAAAGGGUGCGCAGGCGGUUAUAUAAGACAGAUGUGAGAUCCCCGGGCUCAACCUGGGAACUGCAUUUGGGACUGUAGAGCUAGAGUACGGCAGAGGGGGGUGGAAUUCCGCGUGUAGCAGUGAAAUGCGUAGAUAUGCGGAGGAACACCGAUGGGGAGGGCAAUCCCCUGGGCCUGUACAGACGCUCAUGCACGAGAGAGUGGGGAGCAAACA